rnacentral:rRNA from 1 species
AGACCGAUAGCGAACAAGUAGAGAGACCGAUAGCGAACAAGCACUUUGAAAAGAGGGUUAAAAAGUACGUGAAAUUGUUGAAAGGGAAGCGCCUAUGACCAGACUUGGGCCCGGUGAAUCACCCAGCGUUCUCGCUGGUGCACUUUGCCGGGCACAGGCCAGCAUCAGUUCAGCGCGGGGGAGAAAGGCUUCGGGAAUGUGGCUCCCUCGGGAGUGUUAUAGCCCGCUGCGUAAUGCCCUGCGCCGGACUGAGGUACGCGCAUUGCAAGGAUGCUGGCGUAAUGGUCAUCAGCGACCCGUCUUGAAACACGGACCAAG